UACCUUUUCAGUCUUGAAUGGAAAAAAGAGAUGAGAAAUGGCCUUAGUAGGCUUUGUUGUAUGCGGUCUCUUGUAGGCAAUGUAGGAAUCUCAAAAAGCAGUUUGUCCUUCAAGGUUUUGGAAUUUUAUUUCACAAAAAACUAAAAAAUUCAAUGUAGAUUCUGUCAGGAAAACAGAGUAUGUAUACAACCCAACCCAGAUAUCUGGAGCGUGAUUGGAUGAGACUCAGUUAGCCCGGAUACUGUUGGUACUUUUUGCUGUGAGAGGGCAGGUGAUAAUGUGGAGGCAUUAGUGUUAUUAGCAUAUAAGAAGAGAGCACAAUCAGUUUACCAGACGCUGCUGGGGGAAUCGGGGGAUGUGGGGAUUCUUUAAAACAAGUCACUUUGACUGGGAUUGGUUUGCUUUAAGAUUAUGUAGCUUGAAAAAUAAUCAGGGAAUUUUUUUUUUUUUUUUUACACUCAAGGGCAUUUAGUGCUAGAAAGAUUAUAAAAGUAUUAAAAACUAUUUGUGUUGUAUUCAAAGUCUUCUGAAGUCAUACAAUACGUUUAUGUGAAAAGUUUCAACAUUGAGGUAUUAAUUGCUGAAAAUAAUUCCACUCCAUAAACACCGUCAUCAUAAAAUACAGCUGAAUUUGUGUUUGAGAUAAAAGACAACAAAACUGUCGUAAUAAAUGUCCCUGUCCACAGCGUUUGUCUGUUGAUGCAAAGGCAUCUUAAUGAAACCAGUGAAAUACCCUGCACAUGGAAAAACUGCACUAAAUGGACAAACUAAAAAAUGACACCAAGGGCUCCUGACCAAGAGUCAAGGAUUGAAAAGGGUAAAAGACGGUCCCCAAUGAGACUGUGAAUUGUGACGCCUGUUUGGUUGCCUUUACAUUUAUCAAUAUUUCAUAUUCUAUUUAUCUAUGAAACAACAAUGUUGAUAAUAACACUAAAACAGCCAUUCUUGCCAUCAGAAAUAGUUAAACUUAAGUAAAAACAUAAGACAUAGAGUGACUCAUCAGGUCGAGAUGCAAUACAUAAGAGAAUGGCCAGCAUGCUGAUGACUGGUCAUACAGAAGCUGAUCAUACAGAUGACCGUUCAUACAGACCGCAUCAUACAGACAGUGAUCACAUCCUGAUGUAACCAAUCGCUCUCCAGCUGGAGGAAGUGCUGCUUUAUAAUCACAGAACAUUCACUCACUAUUAAAAUGAAUCUGGCUGCUAGAAAGGAGAACAUAUCCUACAACAUGAAAAAGUCAAGUCAACAGUUCACAUUGUUCACUCUAAACAAGAAUAUCACUUCAUCAGAAAGUUCAGUCCUCAAAAAAAGCUGCAUGCAGAAUCUGGAUUGUUGGGACUGCUACAUUCGACGUGGUGGAAAGCAAGCAAGGGAAACCAUGGGCACCAAUCUCAGUGUGUCCUCCCAGGUCCAGUGUUUGGGGUGACCUCCUUCCUUUCUUCCAACAGUGUCUUAAAGAAAGAACUGAACAAAUGAAGAUUAUGCUUUCUUCAAUCGACCUGAGGCACCACUGGA